GAUUAACGCUGGCGGCGUGCAUAACACAUGCAAGUCGAACGAUGAAACUUUACUGAUUUCUUCGGAAUGAUUUUAAGUGGAUUAGUGGCGGACGGGUGAGUAACGCGUGAGUAACCUGCCUUGGAGAAGGGGAUAGCCUUUGGAAACGAAGAAUAAUACCCUAUGAUAUGAUAAUAUCUCAUGAUACUAUCAUCAAAGAUUUAUCGCUCUAAGAUGGACUUGCGUCUGAUUAGUUAGUUGGUGAGGUAACAGCUCACCAAGGCAGCGAUCAGUAGCCGGCUUGAGAGAGUGUACGGCCACAUUGGGACUGAGACACGGCCCAGACUCCUACGGGAGGCAGCAGUGGGGAAUUUUGCACAAUGGGGGAAACCCUGAUGCAGCGACGCCGCGUGAUUUAGAAGGCCUUCGGGUUGUAAAAAUCUUUUGUAUGGGAAGAAAAUGACAGUACCAUACGAAUAAGGACCGGCUAAUUACGUG
rnacentral:rRNA from 1 species